AGCGGAGUUAACCCUAGAAUUGGAGAAUUGGAUCAGGUGAUGAGAUGAGUGGGAGACGAGAGAGCGAGGGCGGAGGCAGCCUUGGGUGGUGGACGCGUGAGCCGCUCUUCUUCUGCUUGGUUUCUUUUCAUUCUCCUCCUCCAAUCUAGACUAUGUGGGCUUUGUUAUUAUAUGCAUCGAUUCCGGCGUCGUCCGGGGUGAUCUACUUGACAGAAGAGAGUGAGCACACAGCGGCGUGGGUGUCGCCGGGAUGCCGUCGCUGUUGCGUGCUCACGUCUCUCUCUGUCAUCCCUUUCUCCCUGGCGGUGCCGGAUGAGAGAAAUCUGCUCUCCUUUACCCUUUUUCUUCUUUCCUUGCUUCUUUGAUCUUGUGUGAUGAGGGUUGAUGACGGUGACGAUGAUGCGAUUUGGUGAAAGAGGCAACCUUGCGUGGGUAUAUCGAUGGUGGAUCUGAUUGGACGCUCGUGCGCGGCAGGCUUUUCCUUUUCCUCCUCCUCCUCCUCGAACUUCGAUGCUGUCUUGACUAGUUCUGCUUGGUUUCCCAAGUACUGCUACUACUACUAGUUUUGGGUCUAUUUCAGACUUGGAGAGACUGGAACUUAUGGAUCAUGGAAGCGUGACUUUUGAGACGAUUGUUUCGGAUAAGGGCGAAGUACAUGAUCCAUCCAUAUGCCUAUUGUCUUCUCUCUCCUUUCCUUCUCCGCUUUCUUCCUCUUUUCCUUUCUAGUCUUCGUCAAGAUCCAUGCUCAAACCCUCAAGAAUUCGUUGCGUUCUUCUUGGGCGUAGAUCAACUGUAAUAAUCGUGUAGUGGAUGCAGCACCUCUCACUUUGGAGCUAUCAGGUCACUUAUCUCCACUUGUUGCUUCAGUUAAAAUUUGCUUCGCUCCUGCAUCAAAACCACCAUUGACGUGGUCCUCCAUUCUCUCGCUGGAAGUCGGAUUUCGUUCCAUGGUCGACGUUCUAUACCAGUGUUUGGUAGAGAAGCAAGUUGAGGAAAAGACUUGUCUGCUUUUAGGUUCAUGCAGUGGAGGUUCUGGUUUCUGUGGUCUCAGCUACUCGCUCCCAGAAAGUUCUCCUUUUGCUUAAGGUAAUGAGACAGCUCUUCGUAACUUCCUUGUCGCUAAUGUUUUCCACCAAGUUGUGUAGUUAUACUUUUGUAGUGUGACACACUUGAUAUCUGUUAGACGACUAAUUCAUGGCUUUUAUUAGGGGAUUGUGUAAGAAGUUAGGAUUAGGUAUAUAUUUUAUGUCAUCAAGAGAACCUUGAACACAAACAUGAUAAAUCAAUGACAAUCGCAAAGAGGAUGACACUUGACCUCCUGAUCUCGCGCAUCGAGUACAAAAUUCAUGUUUUGUCUUCUUGAUGAGGGAGAUGUGGGGGGAUGAUAUGUCCUCAUGUUUAACUAUCUUAUAAAGUUGGCUGACAGAAAAUUUACUAGAGGACUCAGUUGAUACAUGUUCUUUAAUGUUAAUUAACAUGCGCGAUUUAACAAAUUGUAUCUCGGCUUAGAAAAUAUGGCUCUAUGUCCGCAUUACGAUAUACAUGCAUCACUUGCCUUUUCUUUAUUCCAUCAUGAAAAUCCAAUUUACUUCUAAGUUCUAACUACAUCUUUUGUGGGCAUCAAAGCAAUAUGAUGCUUAAAAUGUGGCAAACUAAGCUAAUUGUGGUUGAGUGAUCUCUAUUGAAGAUGCAAGUGCAGUCUCUUGGACUUGGAUUAUAUAUAGAACGUAUAUGGAGGUAAGAGUGAUGACAUGAUGGAUUGUGGCAUGGAGAGAAUGUGAUGGAUGGAUUUUGUUGGUUCUAAAUAAUAUUUUUAUGCGUAGAAGGCAAGAAAGUGAGCUUUCUCAAUAGAUUAAGACUUGGCUUUUGACUGAAUCCUUCUUCAACUCUUGGUACGAUAUAGUCAAGUUAUAUGUAGCAAAAGGUAAACAAAUUAGAUAGAAACUUUCAACAUUAUUUGUGCAUCACAGGAUGAGCAUAUCAUGAGGACAGAAGGGUGUAUUCAGUCAAAACUGUCAAUUCAUAGAAAAGAAUUCAACAUGGUGAUUCUUAUCCAGAAACACAAAAGAAAUCCUUGUCAUUAGGACCACCUCUCUCUUAGUCAUGUGUAGACUUCUAUCCAAUUGGCCACUUUUUCCUUAGUCAUAUGGAGACUUCUACCCACUUUUUUCCUAGUCAUAUGGAGACUUCUACCCACUUUUUUCCUAGUCAUAUGGAUAACACUUGUACUCAAAUUAUAUGUGUCAUUCUAAUUUUUGUAUUUAUUUUCGGAUGCAUUUGGUUUUGUCUUAUGAUGCAAAAAAUUUUACGUUGUCCUUUUCCAUUAGAAUCUUUGAUCAUGUCAUGUACUUGUGACUUAAUUUGCUUCACUCAUUUGUUGGUUAUCUUUCAGCUACAUCUAUCACUCUGAUGCUUAAGUUAAUUUUUUAUUAUUUCGGAAUAUAUGUAGCUCUUUCCUUAUAAUCGAGAAUGGAUCAGUCACACACAGAAAAAGAUAAGAUGGAUAUGUCACACGGAGAAAAAAUUAAUAUGCAUCUCAAGGUAUAUAGCCCCUCCCUUAAUCUGCAAUGGAUCUACCACACGGAGAAAAAAUAAUAUUCAUCUGUGAUGUGGCUUAGUCUCCUGAACCCUAGCAGAAGAUUCAGGAUAAUGGUUUAGUAUCGUUCUGAUAUAACUUAUUAAGAGAACAUAACAUUCCUGUUUGAAUUUUCUUUUCAGUUUAGGAAAACAUCCCAUUUUGAAUCAUCCUGACUUUUAUAAUUUUUCUUUCAUUUUGUAUUAAACAUAUGUACUCUUCUGUAUCCAUUAUUUUGGUUGACUUUAGUCGUUAUUGUGAAUCUUGUGCUCCAUCCGUUGCUUCUUAUGUCCGCGUUAUCCAAUUUGCUCUAAGAUCAAGUAAUUCUGACUAGUUUAAUAUAAUUGGUUUCUUCGUUAAGACUGACCACCUUUCAAUUGUCAGCUUGUGUGAAAACCAAAAAAUAUUUAUUAACAUAAAUAUAGGGUUUGUUGUGCCAACCUGUAUCACUUAAUACUGAGAUACAUACUAGUUCGAUGAGAUAUCGGUACGAGGAUCGUCCUUUACCAGGUGGUAUCAUCACAUGACCUCGUAUCGAACGAUACGAUAUUUUUGUCGAGCGAUAACAAUCGAAAUCCAAUCAUUACCAUUCGAAAAUCCGAUUAUUACCGACCUAUACCAGUUGGUAACGGUCAAGGGUUGAGAUUUCUCUAUUUCAAAUAGUCAAAUUAAUCGUUUAAGGCUUAGAAGAGGGUUUUUAAACAUUUUUCUUCCUCUUUCAAUUCAUUUUGCUCUCUUGAUCUUUUCAACUCUAUUAGCUUGUGACACCCUGAUCGAUUACGACGAUUAGACUACACCUUGUAUUGAUAGCCUCGGAUGUGAAAGGUUCACGACGAUCAGAUUACGACCAUCAUCACAUUGUUGCACUGAUGACAUAUGGUGUAUCAGUAUACUAUGUCAUUGGAUCAAUUUUAGGAUUGAGUCCGACAAACAUAUCAUAUUAAUAUAUAGAUAUAUAGGAUCAAGGACCCCAAAACAUCGCUCGUAGAGUCUCAGCGUUCUUUUUAGUAGUAGAACAGAUAUAUUCGUUGAUUAAUUACUUAAUUCAUUUGAAUCUUAAAGUUUAAGUUAUUUAAAAAAUAAUCUAACAAUCAAAUUAUUUCUUUGUAGAUAAUUAAAUAUUAAUGGGUGGACAAUUCAAAACGUACUGUAAAGUUACUCCUCAAAGCUCAAAAAAGAUGUCACUAUUAUUUCCUAAUUUACAUUAUUUAUGUUAAAAUUAUACUAAAAUUAUAUUUAUUUUUAACUUAAAAAUCCUAAUCUAAUUUUUUAAAUUUUUUUAGAUAUUCUUGAAGUUAUUUUUGAUGAUUUUGGUUGUAUUAUUGGUACGCCCCUAUGUAUCAUCGGUACACCUCGGUACGUACCAUACCGAUACCUAAUCGAUACAUCAGUACAUAUCAAAAUUGCAAACCUUAUAUAAAGAUUUGUUUGUCUGACAUUUUAGGCUAGUGAAGAAUUAAGAUACGGGUGUUGUCAGAUCCAGGAAUCAUUAGCAUUUGUUUUGAUGGAAAACUAGGUCAAUGAAUACAAGAGACUGCCAUGGAUGGUGUUUGAUUGCAAGAGACUGCAAUGUCACCCUUACUCCUUGUAUUGUAUUUGUUCAAUAGUAUUUAAAGUAAAAAUUAAUCCCAUAGGAAAAAUAGUCAAUAUGGAUUUAUUUAUUGCUAUGUAAGCAUUUUACCACUUUCUACCCUUAGAAUGGCAUGACUUUGUUGACUGGCUUCCUCUAUAUGAAGUGAAACGUUUCUUCUUCUUUUUUCACAUGAGGUCUGUGUUAUUUGGAAGGCGAUACUAUUCUUAUAGGUGAUGUAGAAUUUGAAAUUGAAGUUUAGAUCGUAAAGAAGGUGAUGUAGAGAAAUAGAGAGAGAGAGAGAGAGAGAGAGAGAGAGAGGAGUGAGAUUAAAAAUUAGAGGAGAAAAAAAGAGGAGUGAGAUUAUAGAUUAAAGGGAGAGAAAGAGAGGAGAAAAAGAGGCUAGAAGAGAGAAAAUGCAAUUCUUUUUCAUUCAAAUCUGAACAGUUUCAUGCAUUAAUAAGCUCCACUAUUUAUAAGGGUUUAAGAGCCUUAGUAUAAUCAAUGUAGGUAAUGAUUUCUAAGAGUAAUCUCUUAGGGAACUUGUAUAUCUUUUAUAAACCCAAAAUAUAACUCCUAGGAUAUCUAAACAACUUUAAAAUAACUUAUUACAACUGAGAAAAAAAAGAGUACAUUUAAUACAAAAGUAAACUCCCAAAGGUAGCACCUAAAAAGGCUAAAGAUUCUUUAAUUUUUCAAACAAUUCUCAGAGUUUCUAAGCCAACUAAUUAAUGACUUUUUAUUGAUUUUCUUAUCUAGAAUAAAUUAUUCUAAUAUCCUUUAUAAAACUAGAUGAUUCUCCAUUAGAAAGAUUUUCCAAAGUAUGCCUCCUAAAAAACCUAUAGGAAAUUGAAUCAUUAUAUCGGCUUGUCAAAUCUCUUCGUCUGUUUCUCCAUGUCCAAACCCUCAAUUGAUCUUUCUUUCGAAGCUUUUCAUCUUCCUCUUCAAUCCAUCUUAUUUCUUCCAAGUGAUUGCUAUAUUCCAUUAAAGAUUAAUACUAUAUGAACAAAAAGGAGCUAGCAGGAGUCUCUAUGCUAUCUCACUAGUGUUUAAUUGUUACAUGGAAGGAAGGGGAAGAGUAACACACAAAACAACGUUGCCUUAACAGUAUAAAUGGAGCUGCAAAUAUAAUAGAAGAAGACAACUGUUUAAUGGGCAUUUGUGAGCAGUGAUUUAAAAAUAAUAGAAGAAGACAACUGUAUACUGUUAAUAGUAUAUAGUAUAAUAGUAUACUGUAUACUUUUAAUAAUAUACUGUAUACUUUUAAUAGUAUACUGUAUACUUUUAACAGUAUACUUUCAAUUUCGAAAGAGAAGCGAAAGAGAAGAGAAGAGUGUAAGGGAAGACCGAGGGUGUUGAGAAAAGCGAGAGCGGCAGCGGUAGCGGCAAUGGCGAGCGACGACAGUGGCAGCGGCAGUGGUAGCAGUGAGCAGCGGGAGCAGGAGCGGCGAGCGGUGACAGAGCACAUAACAUUCCUAUUUGAAUUAUCUUUUCAGUUUAGGAAAACAUCCCAUUUUGAAUCAUCUUGACUUUUAUAAUUUUUCUUUCAUUUUGUAUUAAACAUAUGUACUCUUCUCUAUCCAUUAUUCUGGUUGACUUUAGUUGUUAUUGUGAAUCUUGUGCUCCAUCCGUUGCUUCUUAUGUCCACUUCAUCCAAUUUGCUCUAAGAUCAAGUAAUUCUGACUAGCUUAACAUAAUUGGUUUCUUCGUUAAGACUGACCACCUUUCAAUUGUCAGCUUGUGUGACAACCAAAAAAUAUUUAUUAACAUAAAUAUAGGGUUUGCUGUGUCAACCUGUAUCACUUAAUACUGAGAUACAUACUAGUUCGAUGAGAUAUCGGUACGAGGAUCCUCCUUUACCAAGUGGUAUCAUCACAUGACCUCGUAUCGAACGAUACGAUAUUUUUGUCGAGCGAUAACAGUCGAAAUCCAAUCAUUACCGUUCGAAAAUCCGAUCAUUACCGAUCUAUGCCAGUUGGUAACGAUCAAGGGUUGAGAUUUCUCGAUUUCAAAUAGUCAAUUUAAUCGUUUAAGUCUUAGAAGAGGGUUUUUAAACAUUUUUCUUCCUCUUUCAAUUCAUUUUGCUCUCUCGAUCUCUUCAACUCUAUUAGCUUGUGACACCAUGAUCGAUUACGACGAUUAGACUACACCUUGUAUCGAUAGCCUCGGACAUGUGGUUCACGACGAUCAGAUUACGACCAUCAUCACAUUGUUGCACUGAUGACAUAUGGUGUAUCAAUACACUAUGUCAUGAGAUUAAUUUUAGGAUUGAGUCCGACAAACAUAUCAUAUUAAUAUACAGAUAUAUAGGAUCAAGGACCCCAAUACAUCGCUCGUAGAGUCUCAGCGUUCUUUUUAGUAGUAGAACCAGAUAUAUUUGUUGAUUAAUUACUUAAUUCAUUUGAAUCUUAAAGUUUAAGUUAUUUAAAAAAUAAUCUAACAAUCAAAUUAUUUUUUUAUAGAUAAUUAAAUAUUAAUGGGAGGACGAUUCAAAAUGUACCGUAAAGUUACUUCUCAAAGCUCAAAAAAGAUGUCACUAUUAUUUCCUAAUUUACAUUAUUUAUGUUAAAAUUAUACUAAAUUUAUAUUUAUUUUUAACUUAAAAAUCCUAAUCUAUUUUUUAAAAUUUUUUAGAUAUUCUUGAAGUUAUUUUUGAUGAUUUUGAUUGUAUCAUUGGUACGUCUCUAUGUAUCAUCGGUACACCUCGGUACAUACCAUACCGAUACCUAAUCGAUACAUCAGUACAUAUCAAAAUUGCAAACCUUAUAUAAAGAUUUGUUUGUCUGACAUUUUAGGCUAGUGAAGAAUUAAGAUACGGGUGUUGUCAGAUCCAGGAAUCAUUAGCAUUUGUUUUGAUGGAAAACUACGUCAAUGAAUACAAGAGACUGCCAUGGAUGGUGUUUGAUUGCAAGAGACUGCAAUGUCACCCUUACUCCUUGUAUUGCAUUUGUUCAAUAGUAUUUAAAGUAAAAAUUAAUCCCAUAGGAAAAAUAGUCAAUAUGGAUUUAUUUAUUACUAUGUAAGCAUUUUACCACUUUCUACCCUUAGAAUGGCAUGACUUUGUUGACUGGCUUCCUCUAUAUGAAGUGAAACGUUUCUUCUUUUUUUUUCACAUGAGGUCUGUGUUAUUUGGAAGGCGAUACUAUUCUUAUAGGUGAUGUAGAAUUUGAAAUUGAAGUUUAGAUCGUAAAGAAGGUGAUGUAGAGAAAUAGAGAGAGAGAGAGAGAGAGAGAGAGAGGAGUGAGAUUAAAAAUUAGAGGAGAAAAAAAGAGGAGUGAGAUUAGAGAUUAAAGGGAGAGAAAGAGAGGAGAAAAAGAGGCUAGAAGAGAGAAAAUGUAAUUCUUUUUCAUUCAAAUCUGAACAGUUUCAUCCAUUGAUAAGCUCCACUAUUUAUAAGGGUUUAAGAGCCUUAGUAUAAUCAAUGUAGGUAAUGAUUUCUAAGAGUAAUCUAUUAGGGAACUUGUAUGUCUUUUAUAAACCCAAAAUAUAACUCCUAGGAUAUCUAAACAGCUUUAAAAUAACUUAUUACAACUGAGAAAAAAAAAAGUACACUUAAUACAAAAGUAAACUCCCAAAGGUGGCACCUAAAAAGGCUAAAGAUUCUUUAAUUUUUCAAACAAUUCUCAGAGUUUCUAAGCCAACUAAUUAAUGACUUUUUAUUGAUUUUCUUAUCUAGAAUAAAUUAUUCUAAUAUCCUUUAUAAAACUAGAUGAUUCUCCAUUAGAAAGAUUUUCCAAAGUAUGCCUCCUAAAAAACCUAUAAAACCUAUAGGAAAUUGAAUCAUCAUAUCGGCUUGUCAAAUCUCUUCAUCUGUUUCUCCAUGUCCAAACCCUCAAUUGAUCUUUCUUUAGAAGCUUUUCAUCUUCCUCUUCAAUCCAUCUUAUUUCUUCCAAGUGAUUGCUAUAUUCCAUUAAAGAUUAAUACUAUAUGAACAAAAAGGAGCUAGCAGGAGUCUCUAUGCUAUCUCACUAGUGUUGAAUUGUUACUUGGAAGGAAGGGGAAGAGUAACACACAAAACAAUGGUGCCUUAACAUUAUAAAUGGAGCUGCAAAUAUAAUAGAAGCAGACAACAGUUGAAUGGGCAUUUGUGAGCAAUAAUUUAAAAAGCGAUAGGCGCCAAAAGACACCACGAUCCAAAAACGUCCGAAGCGCUAGGCCAUCUCUCGAGUGCCAUCUCUCGAGUGAAGUAAGGUGCUAAAAAUUAAUAAUAUUAAAAUUAAUAGUAUUAAAAUCAAAACAAUAGUGUUAUACUGUAUACAGUAAACAAUAUAUUAUAUAUUGUUAACGGUAUAUAGUAUAAUAGUAUAUUGUAUACUUUUAACAGUAUACUUUUGAUUUCGAAAUAGGAGAAGCGAAAGAGAAGAGAAGAGUGUAAGGGAAGACCGAGGGUGUUGAGAAAAGCGAGAGCGGCAACGGUAGCGGCAACGGCGAGCGACGACAGUGGCAGCGGCAGUGGUAGCAGUGAGCAGCGGGACCAGGAGCGACGAGCGGUGACAGAGGCAGCAACAACAGCGAGCAACGACUGCGGGAGCGGGAGCGACGAGCGGCGAUAGUGGCAGCGGCAGCGGUAAAAGUGAGCAGCAGUGAGCGGCAACAGUGGCAGCGACAGCAGCGAGCAGUAGCAUCGAGUAGCGUGAACGAUGAGCAGGGUUAGGGUUGGGAAGUCGCGCUGAUAUCGGUGCUUUAGUUGGUUCGAUUGAACCAACUAAAGCACCGGAGACCGAACCAGACCUAAACCGCUGGUUCGGUCACCUGGUUUAACCCAGGUGCUCGCCUGAAGUGUCCGGCGCCUGGGCUCUCGGGCGAGCGCCUAGGCGGUGCCUCUUUGAAGCGUGCCGUCUGGAAAUGAAGCGAGGCGCUCGGGCCUCGCCUCGCCUCGCCUAAGCGCGCCGCCUCUUUGAAGCGCGCCGUCUGGAAAUGAAGCGAGGCGCUCGGGCCUCGCCUCGCCUCGCCCGAGCGCCUAGGUGAAUGCCUGAGCGCCUUUUUAAAUCACUGUUUGUGAGCGAGCCCUUGCAAUCUUUAAAUAUCUGGCAUGUUCAACACAUGAUUCAGAAAUUUUGAUGGCCAGGACCAGUAUUUCUGAUCCUGAUCUAUUUGGUAAGUAGAUUCUGCAACCUGGCCAUGGUGUGAAACAUGUAUCUAUAAUUGAAAAACAAGUGAUAGCAAUUUUCAUUUGUACUGACAUAGCAUAUGUAACAGUGAGUAUUGCCAUGCAUUUCUUUUUUACUUGGCUUUGGUUGGCAAUCUGCUGUACAGUAAUGCCACAUAGACACACUUAAUCUUGAGCUCCAAACUUUUCUUUCAAUAUUUUGUCGAAAUUACUGUGAUUUUGUGAUUUACAUGUCUUCAUCAUUUAAGAGUUUAUCAUUAAUUAUUGGCAAAUAUUUCUAUUAGCUGUCCAUCACCACUUGAAUUUCUAUUUUUUUUUUGUCGACACAGGAACAUGAACCAUUUUUAGCAGUUCAAUAACUUGAUUUACAAAAUUGUGGGAUCAUGAAUUAACAUUGAGGUUUUUCAUUUAAUUUUCUUGGAAGAAGAGACAAGUUAUUCAUAAAUACAUUAUAUAAAUACUUUCAGAUCCAUCAUAAUGAAAAUUAUUUUUAUUUAAUUUUAAUAAUAAAUUCAAGAGGAAUUGUUGGUUACCUUUUAAAUUAGGGUAAUUCCGACUAAGAGGUCAUAAUUGAAAUGCUAGUAAAAUUUAAGAAAGCGACAAAAGCUAAUUAAUAUCAUUAAAUAGGUAGUUUAAUAAGAUUUUCAUACAGUUUAUUUUACAAAACAAAAAAAAAAUCUAUAGAUAGGACAGUGAGAUGAAGCUCAGAAAAUAUUUUAGAACAUUAGUUAUCAAAGAAUGCAUUUGGUCAAACUUUGGUUGUUUGAUUAUAAUUUUUGAAAUAGCUUUUGGGAGAAGUUAAAGAACUUCCUCAGGGAGGAUCAAAAUGUCCUCCAGAUUUUUGCUUUAAAAGAUUCUUUAAUUGAAUAUCUUUUGACAUCAGCAUCUAUAUUAUUGUUGAUACCAUUACUCAUACUGUUAUUCUCGCCACCACCAUCACUGCCAAUAUUAUUGUUAUUAUUAUCAUCACUAAUGGUUUCAACAUUGUCACCGUCCUUUGCCAUCUUCAUUGCUAUUACUACCAUCGCUAUUACUAUCAUCGUCUACUAUCAUUAUCAUCAUCACUGUAACAACUGUCUCUAUCAACCUGUGGUCAUUAUCAUUCAUUAUUGUUGUUGUUGCCUCCAGUAUUAUCGUUAUCAUCAAUACUAAUCUUCAUCAUAGCUACCGCUACCAUAAUCACGGACCAUUAUCAUUAUUACCAUCUCCAUCAUAAGAAUGGUCUUCAUCAUCACCUUUAUAAAUACGACCGCAAGCACCUUCAGCCAUUGCUAUUGUUAUCAUGAUUAUCAUCGUUCGUGCCAUCGCCACAAUCCCUCCACCAUUAUCAAUUGCUUGGUCAAUUAUUUAUUUGACUACAAAAGCAAAAUGUGGUGGUAAACGCUAAAGCAUUUCCUAUAUUCAGAUUUAGAAUGAGCUUUUCCUAAGUCCACCUUUUUGAAAGUGAAACAAGAUCAAAGGGGUUGGAGUGGUUCAGAUUUGAUAAAGUCGAUCUUUUUUUUUUUAAGGCUUUAAGCAAUCUUAAAUUUUGGAUGGAUCAUGUUAAGAAAAGUUGUAGAAUUUUUGGUAGAAACCUUAUAGGGUUCAAAUUUAAUAUGGCACAUUAGAGUCAAAAUAAAAUUGUUUAUGCAAUUUUUAACUAGUUCAAUUUCUGCGUGGAUCGUGUUAAAGGGCUAUGAUAAUAGUUUUAUCCUUCGGGUGUCAUAUUGUGUUAAUCAAUAUUAUGAUAAUAGUUUUGUCGUUCGGGUGUCUGAUUGUGUUAAGCAAUUUUAUCACCAGCCUCCCGAGGAUGAAUACUCAAAAGACUCUUUGAUAUACUUUUUACACUAAACCAACUCUAACAGCGAAGUUUGUGAUGUGUUAAGCAUGUUUUUUUACAUCUUUGAAAGUUAGCCAAUCUUGAAGGUGGAAGGUUAUAUAUUUUGUACUUUUCGACAACCUACCCUAAAGCUAAUGGCCGUAAUGUAUUUGGUGUCUGCUUGUUCUCUACUUAGCCAACCCCAAAGGUGGAUGAAUUUUCACUGCUAUGUCAACUCCGAAGGCAGAGGCCUCAAGGUAUUAUUAAACUCAUUUUGUUCUUCACCUGGCCAACCUUGGGGAUGAAGGCAACACACAAUGUUCCAAGCUUAACCAUGAUCAGCAUAGGAUGAAAAAGGUUCUAUUGUAUGCUUAUACCAAUAGGAAAACAAGGACUUAUACAUGAAUGAAUGAGCAAAGGAGACUGUAGAGAAGAUACUAUCAUUGCAUGACAGAGUGACUUCAUCUUGCCGCCAAAGUACUUAUUUGUUUCAAGGUGUUCAAAAUAAAAUCGGAUAGAAUUCGCAUACAUCUAAUGUGCAGUUAGGUUGAACUCAAUUGGUCAAUGUGUCUGAAACUUUGUGCAGCUGCGGCUAAUUGAGACCAUUAGAGGUUAUUUUAUCUGAGGCAAAGUCAUGGAUUGAACUUUGAAGUACUUCCGAGGAUAAAAUCAUUGUUUUCAGAAAGCACAGAUCAACAUAGGGAAUGUUAGACACACAUCAUGAUCUUGGUAUGAGUAUUCAUGGAACAUAGGUAAAAGAAUAUGUGCUUGGGCAAUUUAUCCAUAGGUGAACCACCCAUAACACAACACACAAACUGAGCAGAUUCUUUCGUUUACUACUGCCUAUUUCAACUCUACCAUUCUUCAUUCAGGGAUGAUACGACACGCGAGAAUGAGCCAAGGCUAGUUUUUUCUGUAAUGGUUCCUAAAAGAAAUUGAGUGCUUAGUGGAUAGAGAGAAAUUUUGAAAAUCCAAUCAGCUAAGUACAGAACAAUAGCAUAAUCAACAAUAGAGGAGAGGAGGGAUGAAGAAGAAAUUAGAGACCACCUAUGAUUUCUCAUGUGUUAAAUAGUUAUGUUUACUCUUUGCAAAUGUUUGCUUCUCAUUGUCAAAGAAAUGCCUUUUACACUCAUAAAUGAAGCUUAAAGAUAAAACCCAGAUCAUGCUAGCUAUCCAUCUUUUGAUCUCAUAACGAACUCAAUCUAAUUCUUGUAUUUUUUUUUACAUUUUCAUGUGUCUAUACAUGCAUGUCUGGCAGCCUUUCUGGUCUUUCUUUUUUUAUUUUCGUUUUAAUUUAUUGAUUUUUCAUUCCUGUUUCGUGUAUAAAUCUAGAUCCGAUUCGACAAUUAGUUCAACAUGGAUAGAUCAGAUGAAACAAAUUGGCUUCUCAUGGCAAUUUUUUGCAUCAGUCUAGCCUCUUCUUAUUAUUAUUGUUUUUUUACUUUUCCAAGUAAGAAGCUUAAGUAUGUCAUGCGUUGACAAACCCUUCAUACUGACCGAUUUAAUUUGUUGCAAAGAAACUCGAUCACAGUGAUAGUAGCUGGAAAGGCCAAACUCCAAUGGAAUUAUUGCCGAAUGUUACUAUAAGAAGCAGAUUCUUUUCCUGCUAAGUGUUCCUUUCAUCUUGUCCAGACUAUCUAUUGCUUGAUGUCCUUACAGAUCUUUCUAGGCUAUCUUCCCGAGGGCUUUAAUCUACUUGAAUAUCUGCAAUUUUGUGUGAGGGAACCGAGACAAGGGCAAUCCAGUAUGAAUGAUAUUGAUCUUGUCCUUUCCUCAUUGAAUCCUCAAUUCACAUUAUGCCUUGCUUUCGACAAAGCUUUUGUUUGCGUCCAUUUCGCGCGUCUUAGUGCUUUUGUUCUGCCUUUUCAUCAAGCUAGUGAUACAGUAUACGUUCGAAGUUGCUAUGACAAGAGCUAAACCGAGUUGAGCAACAUUAUCAUGUUCAUUAUCUGGGUUUUACUAUUUGCUGCAUAUGUGACGAAGACAUUGAGAUAAAUUUGAACUCAUCAAGAGACAUAUACGCAUUCCUAUACUCUCUUUUCAUUUUUAUUGCACUUUCUUGUCCGGCAAUAUGGUGGUAACAAAUUGUCAAGCAAGGAUUUCGGCCUUCUAAGUUGAUGCGCAUAAGCAUUAAACGUCCAAAUACAGUAUCUUUCAUUACCUUCGAAUUGAACUUUUCCAUGGUUACAAGGUUCUGAAUUGCCAAACUUCAGCAAUGUACCAGUUCUCUGAGAGAUUGAUGGAAUGGUUCUCAUACAUUGGCCAAUAUCAGGAGUUUUGUUUCCUUAUACAGUGCUUGUAACUGAUCUCCAUGAAAAGGACUCUCUUAAUUCAGAGGGGAAAACUAAAAGGGAAGCUGCAGUGCAAUCGAAAAGAUAGGAAGAAAGCGUGUUGGUUGUCGUGAAUCUAUCAAAUUGGAUCCAAGAGCUGAAGCCUAAGCCAUGGAAGAAGUGGAGAGAAGAUUUCUACGGAUCGCUGCCAUAACUGUAACUUUUGCCAUGAUGACCAAAGAAAUGCUUGAUGUCAAAUAUUUUGGCUCACAGAAGCAAGGAAAUCAUGGACAUGAGAGGCUUCAAAGAAGAUGAACAAGUAGUAGAGGAGUACUCGCUUGUUCGGACCAUUUAACAUGUCUUUGUCUCACAACCUUCGCUGCAUUUGAGGCUUCAACAGUCGAGGGAGGGAAUUGUCAUCCUUCGAGUCUCCUUCGUUGUAGAGUUGCAGUGUGCAAAUCAUCCUUGGUUUUGGUGUUGCAAUGAGCAUUGUUUUAUUUUAAAAAAAUGGGCAUUUUUAGAUUCCUCAACUCUCCAUGGACUUUGAGAAACCAUCGACUUUUGAAUGUUGAACAAGCCAUUUGAUUGGUUAUGUACUGAUUGAACGAAAGGAUGUUCUAUAAGUUGCUAUGUUGUUCUUGUCUGAUAACAUGAAUUGCAUAUGUUGGUGUCCUGAUUUUGCAA